rnacentral:pre_miRNA from 1 species
GUUCUACUCCCUCCGUCCGGAAAUACUUGUCAUCAAAAUGGAUAAAAAGGGAUGUAUCUAGACGUAUUUUAGUUCUAGAUACAUCUCUUUUUAUCCAUUUUGAUGACAAGUAUUUUCGGACGGAGGGAGUAAGUU